GAUGAACGCUGGCGGCGUGCCUAACACAUGCAAGUCGAGCGAACAGACGAGGAGCUUGCUCCUCUGACGUUAGCGGCGGACGGGUGAGUAACACGUGGAUAACCUCCCUAUAUGACUGGGAUAACUUCGGGAAACCGGAGCUAAUACCGGAUAAUAUAUUGAACCGCAUGGUUCAAUAGUGAAAUACGGCUUUGCUGUCACUUAUAGAUGGAUCUGCGCCGCAUUAGCUAGUUGGUAGGGUAAUGGCUUACCAAGGCUACGAUGCGUAGCCGACCUGCGAGGAUGAUAGGCCACACUAGAACGGAGACACGGUCCAGAAACCUACGUGAGGUACCAGUAGGGCAUAUUGCGAAAUGGGCGAAAGCCUGACAGAACGAUGCCGCGGGUGUGACGGAGAUCUCCGGAGCGUAAAACUCUGUUAUUAGGGACGAACAGAUGUGUAAGUAGCUAUGCACGGUUUGACGGUACCUACUCAGAAAGCAACGGCUAACUCCGUG
rnacentral:rRNA from 1 species